rnacentral:tRNA from 1 species
GGUAUUGUGGCUCAGUGGGUAGAGCGCCCUUCUAGCAUGGGCGAGGCCCUGGGUUCCAUCCUCAGCACCA